GGGUCUGUGCAGAUGUUGCCUCAGCUGUUGCUGUUGGCUACAGACUGCCUAUGAUGUUACAAACAAACAUCUACCAACUGCCUGUGAUGUCACAAGCGGACAUGGCGAAUGAGGGGAAAGAGGCAUUUUCUAGGCGACGGGAGCAGCCCCAGGAAGUUGGGGGUAGGUAGGGCAGCUUUGGUCACAGAAGUGAGUUGCCAACUUUUCUCGCUCUCAGGGCUCCUGUGCUUGUCUCACCUACACAGCUUCCAAAACAAUAAAAUGAAAUCACAACUGAUUUAGUCACCCCACCACAACUUAUAAAGAGUUUUUGUUUCGUUCUUCUGUCCUUUGGGCCACAUCAAUGAGGCCAAGAGGGCGAUCUUGUCAUCUGGGCAGCCCAGGAAAGCCAUACACACCGCCCAGGCUUGCACCCUGGGGAGGCCACUUCAGUACUGCUAACACAGCAGUUUGACUUCAUCCCCAAGAGGUGCCUUCCAUUAUCUCUCAAGACAGAUGCCAACAACGUGGGAUGUGUGAAAUUUGUGCCAGGAGCAAACCAGCCACAGCACACAUACUUAGCUGACGGACUGAGUGUUGCUUAAUUGGUUAUUUAUUUACAUCCCUGGGAGGAGGAUAGAAUGCCUUUUCUCCUUCCCAUCCCCUGCAAAACGAUGAGGUUGUGUGAUCAUAUACUGUAGAUCAGAGAACUGGAUUUGGCCAGGAAGCCAGAUCCUUACCUUCUGUACCCAUCCAUUGAAGACCACAUUAUUUUAAUAAACAAAUUGCUUCCAGUCAGUACAGACACAGUUAUUGUUCACAUGGAUGUCUGGAAGGUAAUCUUUGACCCUCACCCAGCAUCAUAAGGACCAGGCUCUUGUUCUCUUUUUUUAAUAGAAUAAAUUCUUCAUUCACAAGUAACUGAAUGGAUCAGGCUGGCUGAACUUAAGCCUUCUCAGUUAAAGGCACCAGGAAUUAUAUUUUCUCCCUCAGGGAGCAAAUAAUUCUUCUCUAUACAGGAAAAUCUAUAAGACGUUCACUGUGAUGUGGCAGUAAAUACAACCAUCCAAAGAAGGCAGAUGCAAAAAAAAAAAAAAAAAAGGGUGUAGAUGGAUAAGAAAUCCCUUACCAAACUGAAGCAAAGUUGCCAUAAAUGUUGUCUGCCCAGAGGAAAGCAAUGGGAAACAAAAGCCACCAGCUUAUGAGAUCACAGCUCAUAAAGAAUGCAUAUAAAGAGGUCAGUAACCAAACAAUGGUGCUCUUCUAGUUCAUUUACAACACCCUUAGACUGUUAAUCAGACCAAAAUGUCAGCU